rnacentral:rRNA from 1 species
UACAGAGGGUGCAAGCGUUGUUCGGAAUUACUGGGCGUAAAGCGCGUGUAGGCUGUUCGGAAAGUCGGGUGUGAAAGCCCUGGGCUCAACCUAGGAAGUGCACUCGAAACUCCCGAACUGGAGUCCCGGAGAGGAAGGCGGAAUUCUCGGUGUAGAGGUGAAAUUCGUAGAUAUCGAGAGGAACAUCGGUGGCGAAGGCGGCCUUCUGGACGGUGACUGACGCUGAGACGCGAAAGCGUGGGGAGCAAACAGG